GGGACAACCCGCCGAAAGGCGGGCUAAAUCUGCGUACAUGCCACCGGGGCAUACCGGAGGCAGGAAAGGCUUCGGCCGGACAGGGAUGGGCAUGCGGCGCAUUAGGCAGUAGGCGGGGUAACGGCCCACCUAACCGACGAUGCGUAGGGGUUCUGAGAGGAAGGUCCCCCACACUGGUACUGAGACACGGACCAGACUCCUACGGGAGGCAGCAGUGAGGAAUAUUGGUCAAUGGUCGGGAGACUGAACCAGCCAAGCCGCGUGAGGGAGGAAGGUACAGAGUAUCGUAAACCUCUUUUGUCAGGGAACAAAGACUGGGACGCGUCCCCGGAUGAGUGUACCUGAAGAAAAAGCAUCGGCUAACUCCGUGCCAGCAGCCGCGGUAAUACGGAGGAUGCGAGCGUUAUCCGGAUUUAUUGGGUUUAAAGGGUGCGCAGGCGGUCUGUUAAGUCAGCGGUCAAAGCCCGGGGCUCAACCCCGGCCCGCCGUUGAAACUGGCAGUCUCGAGUUGGAGAGAAGUAUGCGGAAUGCGCGGUGUAGCGGUGAAAUGCGUAGAUAUCGCGCAGAACUCCGAUUGCGAAGGCAGCAUGCCGGCUCCACACUGACGCUGAGGCACGAAAGCGUGGGUAUCGAACAGGAUUAGAUACCCUGGUAGUCCACGCAGUAAAC
rnacentral:rRNA from 1 species